CCCGCAAAACGUUCUAUCGCUGUGCCGACAUAGUCGGUGAGAGGAAAGUCCGGGCAACAUAGAGCAUCCUGCUUCCUAACGGGAAGGCGCCCGCAGCAGGCGACAGCAAGUGCCACAGAGAAUAUACCGCCCGCAAGGGUAAGGGUGAAAACGUGAGGUAAGAGCUCACGGCUUUUCCGGGCGACCGGGAUCGCGGUAAACCUCAGGAGUUGAAAAACCAAAUAGGUUCUGAAAGCGGUGCUGCUCGCAUCCAUGUCCGGCAACGGAAUGUCAGAAUGGGUAGGUUGAUAGAUCAUGCCGGCAACGGCAGGGCCAGAUUAAUGAUAGAAGCUCUCAUUCGGGAGUACAAAACCCGGCUUACAGAUUUGCUGCUGAG
rnacentral:RNase_P_RNA from 1 species